UGGGGAAUUUUGGACAAUGGGGGAAACCCUGAUCCAGCCAUCCCGCGUGUGCGAUGAAGGCCUUCGGGUUGUAAAGCACUCUUGGCAGGAAAGAAACGUCAUGGGUUAAUACCCCGUGAAACUGACGGUACCUGCAGAAUAAGCACCGGCUAACUACGUGCCAGCAGCCGCGGUAAUACGUAGGGUGCAAGCGUUAAUCGGAAUUACUGGGCGUAAAGCGUGCGCAGGCGGUUCGGAAAGAAAGAUGUGAAAUCCCAGAGCUCAACUUUGGAACUGCAUUUUUAACUACCGAGCUAGAGUGUGUCAGAGGGAGGUGGAAUUCCGCGUGUAGCAGUGAAAUGCGUAGAUAUGCGGAGGAACACCGAUGGCGAAGGCAGCCUCCUGGGAUAACACUGACGCUCAUGCACGAAAGCGUGGGGAGCAAACAGG
rnacentral:rRNA from 1 species